GUCUGGACCCAAGGAGAUUUCAAUAAUGAAUAUUCUAACCUCCUUGUCAAGACCGGCUUCAGUUUGAACUUUCAUUUGUUCAGUGUUUAUAAACAGCUGUGUCUGAAGUUUGUCAAGUUUUCGGUGUAACUUUCGCGCACCAUUUUGCUACAACGCGUUGAAAUAACGCUUGAAGUCAUACUGCUGAAUGAAUCUGGCACAAAGGCUCAUAUACCUUCAGACGGACAGUAGACGUUCGAUUGCAUAAACUGUUUUAUGCUAUCAUUUACAGACGACGGACAUAUUUGUGCCUCUUAAAACUGAGAAAGAAUAAACAGUAAAGCAAACGAAGAUUUUAGGAAAUCAUAGUGGAUAAAUAUGAACAAGAAAGUUGCAGGUGUUUAAAUAACAUUGUGCACAUCAGAAGUGCAGACAGUACGAAGUAGAGGUUGAGGAAGAAAGUAUAGUACCUGCUGCGAGAAUCAGAUCCGUUAAAGUUGUGUGCUGCUAUUUUGAUGAAUUCCGAAGUGACUUCUUCAUGUUCGUAUCUCAACUCCAUAGGCAAAAUGCAGAAAGCAAAUGGAAGUUCCACCAUUUGGAUAUGUGGCUAGAAGAUGCAUGGAUGGAUUCCCAAUACAAUAUGUCUUCAGUUUUUAUAAAGUAAUCUAUGGUAAGCAUUUGUCAGGUCUAAAAAUACACCUGCAGUGUGCCCCUUCCGGUCCAACAGACAGUACACUUCAUGGAAGAAUUGAGUAACUGCUAAAUUUCUUCAUUUGUGACCAUAUUGUCCAUAGUUGCUUUACAAUUACUGAGUGUGUUUUAAUUC